CCUACGGGGGGCAGCAGUGAGGAAUAUUGGUCAAUGGGCGCGAGCCUGAACCAGCCAAGUAGCGUGAAGGAUGACUGCCCUACGGGUUGUAAACUUCUUUUGUCAGGGAAGAGUAGAAGACGGUACCUGACGAAUAAGCCACGGCUAACUACGUGCCAGCAGCCGCGGUAAUACGUAGGUGGCAAGCGUUGUCCGGAUUUACUGGGUGUAAAGGGCGUGUAGCCGGGUUGACAAGUCAGAUGUGAAAUCCUGCGGCUUAACCGCAGAACUGCAUUUGAAACUGUUGAUCUUGAGUACUGGAGAGGCAGACGGAAUUCCUAGUGUAGCGGUGAAAUGCUUAGAUAUCACGAAGAACUCCGAUUGCGAAGGCAGCUUACUAAACUGCCACUGACAUUGAUGCUCGAAAGUGUGGGUAUCAAACAGGAUUAGAUACCCCUGUAGUC
rnacentral:rRNA from 1 species